rnacentral:rRNA from 1 species
AGUGAACGCUGGCGGUAGGCCUAACACAUGCAAGUCGAACGGCAGCACAGUAAGAGCUUGCUCUUACGGGUUGCGAGUGGCGGACGGGUGCGGAAUACAUCGGAAUCUACUUUUUCGUGGGGGAUAACGUAGGGAAACUUACGCUAAUACCGCAUACGACCUACGGGUGAAAGCAGGGGAUCUUCGGACCUUGCGCGAUUGUAUGAGCCGAUGUCGGAUUAGCUUGUUGGCGGGGUAAAGGCCCACCAAGGCGACGAUCCGUAGCUGGACUGAGAGGUAGAGAAGCGAAACUGGAACUAAGACACGGGCCAGACUCCUACGGGAGGAAGCAGUGGGGAAUAUUGGACAAUGGUCGCAAGCCUCAUCCAGCGAUACCGCGUAGGGGAAGAAGGCCUUCGGGUUGUAAAGCCCUUUUGUUGGGAAAGAAAAGCAGCAGGUUAAUACCCCGCUGUUCUGACGGUACCCAAAGAAUAAGCACCGGCUAACUUCGUG